rnacentral:rRNA from 1 species
AGAGUUUGAUCCUGGCUCAGAACGAACGCUGGCGGCGUGGAUAAGACAUGCAAGUCGGACGAGAUUUUCCGUUGUAGCAAUACGAUGGAAAGUCUAGUGGCGAACGGGUGCUUAACACGUGGGCAACCUGCCAGGAAGUGGGGGAUAGCUCGCCGAAAGGCGAAUUAAUACCGCAUGUGAUUAGAGUGGACAUCCAUUCGAAAUUAAAGUCGGGGCAACCUGACGCUUCUUGUGGGGCCCGCGGCCUAUCAGCUAGUUGGUGUGGUAAUGGCUCACCAAGGCUUUGACGGGUAGCUGGUCUGAGAGGACGACCAGCCACACUGGGACUGAGACACGGCCCAGACACCUACGGGUGGCAGCAGUCGAGAAUUUUUCUCAAUGGGGGAAACCCUGAAGGAGCGACGCCGCGUGGAGGAUGAAGGUCUUCGGAUUGUAAACUCCUGUCAUUGGGGAACAAUGCGCAGAUAUUAACUGUAUUUGCGUUGAUAGUACCCGAAGAGGAAGAGACGGCUAACUCUGUGCCAGCAGCCGCGGUAAUACAGAGGUCUCAAGCGUUGUUCGGAUUCAUUGGGCGUAAAGGGUGCGUAGGCGGCGCGGUAAGUCGGGUGUGAAAUCUCGGAGCUUAACUCCGAAACUGCAUUCGAUACUGCCGUGCUUGAGGACUGGAGAGGAGACUGGAAUUUACGGUGUAGCGGUGAAAUGCGUAGAUAUCGUAAGGAAGACCAGUGGCGAAGGCGGGUCUCUGGACAGUUCCUGACGCUGAGGCACGAAGGUCAGGGGAGCAAACGGGAUUAGAUACCCUAGUAGUCC